rnacentral:ncRNA from 1 species
CAUGCCGCGGUCAUGCCGCGGUGAAUACGUUCCCGGGCCUUGUACACACCGCCCGUCACACCACGAGAGUUUGUAACACCCGAAGUCGGUGGGGUAACCGUAAGGAGCCAGCCGCCUAAGGUGGGACAGAUGAUUGGGGUGAAGUCGUAACAAGGUAGCCGUAUCGGAAGGUGCGGCUGGAUCACCUCCUUU